AACCACUGCCCCUUGCCCUGUCACUCCCUGCCCAUAUAAAAAGUGUCUCCCUCCUCUCCAGUCUUCAGAUCCUGUGUGAGGAAUCUCAGCUGAAUGCUCAAACAACAGCAAAAUGAAAGAAAAUUCUCUGUUUUGAGUGAAAGAGCUGGAAGCAGAUUUGGACAUCUUUGCCCACAGGACUCUGGGAGAUGCCUGAGUGCUCUGUCCUCUGGAUAGUUCGGGUUUAACCAAGGCAGGCUCGAGGUGGGAGGGGAAGGCAGCUCUGGGAGGAAGGUGCUGUGCCUAAAGGUGGCACAAGAGGACAGGAGCAGAGCUGGAAUUGCACCCCAGGCCCCAGGGAGUGCCUGUGCCCUGUGCCAGCAGCCAUCCCUGCAGGCUGGGGCUGCUCCCUGGUGCACUUGCAUUCAGCUGGCUAAAGCCUUUAGGGAAGGACAUGAUUGCCCAGCACCACGGGGAAAGGAACGAACAAAUAAAUUUACUGUAAUGGGAAUGAGUCAGCAUGGAUGUAUUGCAGAGAAAUUACUUUCUGGCAAUAAAAUCUUGCUGAAUUAUGCAGGGACACUGAAAACAUGGACCAGGAUACUCCAUGGCAGUUGCAGAGCUGGAGUGGUUGAUAGAAGGUAACUGAGAGCAGCUUCCAGAGUGAUGUGCUGACUGUGCUGCUCCAGUGGCAGUGGGACAUGCCCUCCUCUUCCAGCCUCUCCAGGAAAAGAGUGAGAUCCUCUCUCACUCUUGGGAAGAUGCUCCGUAAGUAGCAGCUGAUUUGUUGCAUGAGAUUCUGAGCAGGGGAAGAGUGAAAAUAACAGGAGAGUGGUUUUUCCUCUAUUUUUGGUCUCUGAUUUAAAUCAGUUCCUGAGGCAGAAUUCAUUUCUGGGAGAAGAGUGAUGCUUUUGAACUGAGAUUUCUGCAAAGGGGGAGAACACCAGUGUUUCUUAGCCAGUGGAAGUGUCUAAAGGGGGCUGAUUGCACUUCCAGCGUACCCAGGUGCCACACUCCUGAUUCCUUCACCAGUGAGACACUGAACUGCAAACCUUAUCGUUAGCAGAAGGGCAAAAAUAUUAACAUCUAACCCAGAAAAGAAAUCUGUUCAAUAAAUCAAAGAUAGAAGCAAAGAUGAAAUCUGAAAUCCCCAUGGAGUGCAAAUAACUCGUUCCUGGUGCCCGUUCAAAAUCAACCACCACAGGAGAAUGUAACGAUCCUGGUGUUUAGUGAAAUUAGAUUUGACACUGGCCAGGGCCCUGUUAUUUUGGUUAGUUAGCAUUUGCAAUUGUUUGCCACCCAUUAGAAAUCCCAGUAACCUGUUGUAAGGGCAGGCAAAUUAAGAUUCCCUCUCUGUGCAUGAUUACUCAUCACACCACAGCUUUGCUUUAAUUGGAAAAUAACUGGUGGCUGAGCACAUCUUACCCGGGCUGCCAUCGGAGCCCUGGGCUCGCACACAAUUUGUUGUACACACAACAGCUUACAAAAACCUCACAGAAAAUUAAAGCUCCAAUAGCUUAUCAGAUGCAAAGAUAAUUAUUAAUCCUUAAUGAUCCUGGUAAUUUCUUUAUGGGAAUUCACCUCCGCUUCCUUCAGGGCCUCCGGCAUAAGAACACACAGUGCCCUUCCUGAACCUCUGCUCUGGAUUUUCCUUUAUUCAGAGCCUGACAGUGAGUUGGAGAAGUCUGAGGGUUUGAUGGUCCCUCCAAGCUCCCAGGGCAUGGACCUCUGCAGGCUGCACUCACUCACAGACAAGAGGAUAAUAAUGGAAUCACAGACUGGUGAGGUUUGGAGGGACCUUAAAGCCCAUCCAGUCCCAACCACUGCUAUGGGGACUUUCCACUAGAGCAGGCUGGAACCUGCCAGCCUGGCCUAGAAUAAGGGAUAGGGCAGCCACAGCUGCUCCUGACAACUGUGGGUAAACUGUGAGCUCCAAUCAGCCCACCUUCCCUCUCCUGCUAGUGGGAAUCUUGUUUUGCUAAAUCAGAACAGAGUGGAAUGGCAGGAGAUGUAGCUGAUUGGGAUGUGGCAGCUGUCUGGGACACACCAUCAGGUCCUGCAGGGAGACAAGCAGGGACAGAGAGGCUUCCUAGAGGUGCAACCUGCACUAGGAAGCAGGAGGGUGCAAUAUGAACAGAUCUGGGGAGUGAAAUGCCCAGUGCUGGCCCACUCUGUUUGGGGAGGAAUUACUUGGGGUAGGUUUGGUCUGCCCCCAUGGCCUGGAGCAUUCAAUAGCAGCGUGGGUUCUGUGGGUCUCUGGGGCUCCUCCCAUGGCUGAAAGGAUUCCAGUUCUGCAGCCUGGACCUGACUGUAGUAAUUGGCAAGGUCAGCAGCGUCCCCUCAAAGGGGUUGCCCUGCUCCAGAUAAAGCAAACACCAACACAAGCAUGGGAUGCACAGGGAGCUCUCAGAGCAGCUGCUCCUUCCUGGAAAGAGCAGAUGAAAGUUAAUCUGGACAUGCCCAGCCUGGUUUAUUGUUUUGAUAACACAUUGGCUCUGAAAUGCUGUUGUUCCAGGGAAGCAAUAGCUCGCAGUCAGGAAGUUGAUUGUUUCAUGAUUAGAAUUGCUGUAGCUCCCAAGGGAAGGGGUGGCACUGUCUGGGCAGACUUGGAUCUGCUGAGAACACUUGCACCUGGUACUCCACCAAGGAUGUGGUCUGUGGUGGAAAAGUUGCCACUGCUGACGUGGGAGGCAGGCAAUGCUGUGUGGGACACAGCUCUGAACAGGAGCAGUGAGGAGUUCACCCAGAGACACGAGCUCACAGCUUGCUUCAGCAGGAAACUGUUCAGGUAACAUCAGUUUACUCAGUGCAUUCACUUUUCUAUGCAGGAAAUACACUCCUUGUGUCCCACUGCCUGAGUCCACACGUUCCCUGUGUAUCCAAAGAGCAGCUGAAUUUUCACUUGUGACAGUUCAGCUUGCACAAACCAAGGGAGAGAUGGAAAAAGACCUUUGCGCCUCUUGUGCCGUGAUGGAUCGCAUUUUAUUUUUGCUCCAAUGCCAGGUCUGGAUUUGAAAUAGAAAAGCAGGAUCCUGUUUUGUGGAGUAACUUUUGGAGGGAGCCCUGAAGGAGCAAUGUAAGAGGGGCUGGAGGGAUCAGACAGGAGCCAGAACAAAAGCUGCCAGUGUUGGGGAGGUGGGAGCUGGUGCUGGAUGAAGCGGGACCUCCCGCUGUUCACAGCUCGCUGCUGCCGUGGCCAGGCUGGCAUCCUGUGCAGGGGGAAUGCAGGGAAGAGCUAAUCUAUGGAAACAGAAGGACAGACUUAGCUUGAGAAGAUGAGCAUGCUGAGCUGGUUUCUGCUCUGUUACACCCUGAAACCUCGCUGAUAUCCGUGCAGCUCCCCAGCUGGAACUCAGAGCAGACGGGGGUUCUUUAUGCAUUUUCUCCAGAGCCAGACUGGUGAGGAUUUGUUGAGGACUGGAGAAACUGAUACUGAGAUUUUCAGCUCGGCAGGAGGGAAUCUCUGUUUGCUUAAUUUGGGAAGAGACAGCCCUAUAACUUGCAGUAUGUAAGGCUUUACCAGAAGUAUCCCCUAGUGUAGAGUUUGAGAAGCCAGGAAGCCUUUCAGGCUGCCUGAGCCAUUCCACAGGCUUCCUCCAUUCCUUCAAAUACAAAGAGAUGCCUGCUGUAAACAGUUUGUGCAAGGACUGGACUCCAGUACAGAAAUCCAGGGAUUCCCACAGGCACAGGUAGUGUAACCACCCCCCUGUAUAAUUUCUCCCAGAGGUGACUUAAAGAGCCCCUUCUGGAAAACACCUGAGCUCCUCAUUUCACCUGGUGCCCUGGGAAGCUCGUCCAGUGCUGGACAUCCUCCACAGCUGUUUCUGCUAGGUUUUACUUCAAGGUUAAAUUUGCAAUUGUCUUGGAAGAGGUAUCAAUGUUCCCAAAAGCCCUCCCCACCAACUGCCAUCCCACAUCAGUGCCUGGAGCAUAAAGACACUCCAGGACAAGUAGCCAGGUCCUGUCUCAGUCACAUCCCUGACAAGCAGAUACCUCAGGCUCCUUCAGGAGAACACUGGGCAGCUUCCAUUUCCCAGCCCCAGAGUCCCUGUUUGGCCUUGCAGAGUUGCUCCUGUAUUUUCCCUUCCUCCAUUAAGGAAGGAACAGAGCCUGAUCUUGGCCUUCCAGCAGGUUCCUGGAGCUGUGUGCCAGAGGGAAUCCUUCCUGCUGGGAUCAUUCACUGUCCCUUCUCAGCACCGACGGAUCCCAGUCCCCCUUCAUGGCAGCUUUAGGGCUACAGCAAAUCCUCAAUGUCCUCCAAGUCCUUUUCCAAACUAUUCCUUUCCAAGGCAGCAUCCUGUGAGUGUAACCUGUGCUUCUGGUUUCAGAUUUCUUACCUUGUAUUUGAUGGUUUAAAUCGUGUUUCUCUGGCAUGUGGCCAGCUCUCACUCAUGUCAGAUUCCAGUGUAUUGGUAGCCCAAUCCUGCUUCUUGUUCCCCUCCCACCAGUCUCGUUGACAUCUGCAGACUUUCCCAUGACAAGGAUUUAUACAGAGUCAUUCAGAUCAUUGAUAAAAAUAUUAAAUAAAAUGGCAAUGGGAGUUUCGCUCAUCUUUUAUCCCAGAUAUUUUUAGCCAGUGUAAUAUUGCUGCAUGUUUAUUGAGUCUUGGCUAUUGGAACACCCAGUAAAUAUUUCUUUGAAGAACAGCCAGUUUCCAGGAAUGCUUUCCACCUUAAAUGUGCAUUCCCAAUCCAUUAUUCUGGCAGCUGAGGCCUGGGAAAACAGAAAUGUUAAUGCACAGGUGUGUGUGCCACUGCUGGUGCAGGCACUGCUGUAAUCAGAUCAUGCCCUGUGGUGUUGAGGCAGCUCACUGGCCUUUGGAGCAGGAACUGACUCCUUGGCCUCCUGAGGUCCAGCAGGAGGUUUUCCCAUGUGGAUUGCAGCAGUUUCAGGGCUGAAACUGUUCACUGUUAGGCCUGAGCUGCAGCUUAGCACAGUCAUGCAACUCUGCUUUGUGCCACCGUGUCAGCCAGGCUGGACAUUGGCCUGGUGCUGGUGCCCAUCCCCUAAAACAGUGUUAAUGCACAUUUUGAAUGUUUUUCUUUUGCAUUGUGAGCCUGGAUCCAGCGGGGAACAGGGCUGCUCUGAUUGCCAUGGACAGAGCUGGACCUGCAGGUUUAUCCAGAGCCAGGUGUGCACAGGUCAGUGCCAGCAUUCCCAGAACGGCAGCGUGGCAGGAUGAUACCUUUGCCACAAAGGAUACCUUUGCCACUAACCCUCAGGUUUGAGGGUUGUUCAAGACCUCUCAUUUAGAUCUCUGGUUACGAGGUUCUAAACCCAGGGAAUUAUUUAUAAACAUCCCCUUCACCCUCCAAAUCUACAGCUGUCACCUGGCGUUGGGAGGUCUGGACAUGGUGGAAUCUGGCUUCCCACUGCCAGAGGGCAGGGUUA